rnacentral:lncRNA from 1 species
AGUGUUUCCUUUCUGUCCCAGUUCUGGUUUGAUCUGUUUGAAAACCAUCCAGUAAAAAGCUUAUGGAGGCCAAUUACAUGGCGGGUGUGUUGAAAACUCUGGUAUUUGUUUCAGGAAGCUCUUCUGAGCUGAGGGCACUUGAGCAACUGACUUAAUUUCUAAGUACUUGAUUAACACAACACUGCAAACAGAAGGGGGAAAGUGUAAGUGACACAGUUUUCUCAGAUACAGGCUGCUUCUCUAAUGGCUUUGGGAAGGAUGUCCCCAGCUUCCUGUGUUCCAAUAGACCUAGCAUAUAAAGAAGAGUGGACCAGAUCUUUCCGCAUUCUCCUGAAACAAGAAGGACUCAGCCAACAAGGGAGCCUGAGAUUCAAAAAAAAAACAGCAUUGAAAACCACAUGAGGGCAUGAGAAAGAGGGGAUGCUUUUCUAUGCAUCAACAAUGACUUUCUUACAGACCUGCCCUGCCUCAGUUGGAAAUCUUUUCCAGGCCUACAUUAUAGAGAAUAAAUAUGAACUCUGUAAUAGAGUUCCAUUCCCUUAGUGCUUAAUUGAUCUCUUCCUCCAACGUAAGUGCCCUCUUUGUGUUUUUCUGCUAUGGCAACAUGAAUAUGACACCCAGAGUGGGGAAAUAUAUGUACAAUUGAAGAUUGCCUUGGCAUAUGGAAAGCUAGGCACUGUCAUAAGAAGUAGAGCUAAUGGGAACAAAAUUAAUAUUGCAUUUGCCAGUUGUCAACAGGCAUCUUUUUUUCCUAGUGCGCUACUAGGAACCAGGUUCUGGGAUUAUAAGUGAUGUGCCAAAAAGAGCCUAUUGAUUACAACUUCCAGAGACAAUCAUGAGCUGGCACAAACUCAGAAUUAAGGUCAGGCAUGGACGUUUCAUAUCUAUUCCCACACUCAGCAUCUGGAAUUGGGUUGUGUCAGACAUUUUAUGAGAAAUAAAUGUGUCAUUUGAGUGUUCUAUUGGUACUAAAUUGUUACUUUGGAGUAAAAUAAAUGUGAAGGCUUUGGGGAGUGGAUGGUGUUGGAGAAUAUGGUGCUUGGAAUGGACAACCUGUA